AACGAACGUUGGCGGCGUGGAUGAGGCAUGCAAGUCGAACGUGAAAGCCGCAAGGUGAGUAGCGUGGCGGACGGGCGAGUAACACGUAACCAAGCUGCCUGCGAGACGGGGAUAACCUCGGGAAACCGAGGCUAAGACCCGAUGGUCUGCCGGGGACGCAUGUUCCUGGUAGUAAAUGGGCGGGAUCCUUUGGGAUCGCCUGCUCGCAGAGGUGGUUGCGGCCCAUCAGCUAGUUGGUAGGGUAAUGGCCUACCAAGGCAACGACGGGUAGCCGGCCUUAGAGGGUGGUCGGCCGCACUGGGACUGAGACACUGCCCAGACUCCUACGGGAGGCUGCAGUCGAGAAUCUUCCGCAAUGGGCGAAAGCCUGACGGAGCGACGCCGCGUGGAGGACGAAGGCCUCGGUUGUAAACUACCUGUCACGAGUUAAGAAGGAAUCUGCCACGAACAGUGGUAGGUUUUGUACGUAAGCUCGAGAGGAAGCACUGGCUAACUC
rnacentral:rRNA from 1 species